AGCAGCCGCGGUAAUUCCAGCUCCAAUAGCGUAUAUUAAAGUUGUUGCAGUUAAAAAGCUCGUAGUUGAAUUUCGGGAUCAAUUUAUCGGUCGUGCCUAUGGUAUGAACUGGUACAAUUGGUUUCUCCCUUCUGACGAAGCAUGAUGUCAUUAAUUUGGUGUCGUGGGGAAUCAGGACUGUUACUUUGAAAAAAUUAGAGUGUUUAAAGCAAGCAUUAGCUUGAACACAUUAGCAUGGAAUAAUGAAAUAGGACGUUUGAUCCUACUUCGUUGGUUUCUAGGAUCGACGUAAUGAUUAAUAGGGAUAGUUGGGGGCAUUAGUAUUCAAUUGUCAGAGGUGAAAUUCUUGGAUUUAUUGAAGACUAACUACUGCGAAAGCAUUUGCCAAGGAUGUUUUCAUUAAUCAAGAACGAAAAUUAGGGGAUCGAAGACGAUCAGAUACCGUCGUAGUCUUAACCAUAAACUAUGCCGACUAGGGAUCGGAUGAUGUUAAUUUUUUAAUGACUCA
rnacentral:rRNA from 1 species